ACGCUGAGCAGCAGGCUCAGGCUAGACAUGAGAACAUUACAUAACCUGCAGGUGUACGGCACAAAUCUAUGUCUUCUGGGUCGCACCUUCACAUAUCACCCCGACAGUUUGCAGCUCAAAUUUUAUGGUACAGAAAAGCUCCCAAAGAAUGCUGUACUCACACUGUGUUAAAGGCAGUCCCCUGUGGUAUAGCAGGGAGGUGCAAUGCAGAACUCAAGAGUACCAAGCUUGUGCCCAGAAAUGGCUUUCUAUUCGGAAAGCAGCCUCCAGGAGAACUGUUUUACACCAUGGACACCACAGCGUCUGCUCACAGUGCCUGUCAACACUUUACUUUAAGUAGACUCAAUUUCAUUCAAACCAAUUUUUAUAGCCUUUGAGUAAAAAGUGAGCUUUCUGAAGUAAACAAUAUGUAACUAAACACAAGAAGGAAUUGGCCACUUGGCACUAACACUCAUCUUACCAGGCAUCAUGUUUUGAUAAAAGCUACUAAGCCCUGGCACAGGAUAACCACACAUCACUGAUUUUUUUUUUUUUUUUUUGGGAGGGAGGGC
rnacentral:lncRNA from 1 species